GACGAACGCUGGCGGCGUGCUUAACACAUGCAAGUCGAACGGAGUGGCGAACGGGUGAGUAACACGUGGGUGAUCUGCCUUGCACUUCGGGAUAAGCUUGGGAAACUGGGUCUAAUAACGGCUUGUGCAAGAUGAGCUCGCGGCCUAUCUGCUUGUUGGUGGGGUAAUGGCCUACCAAGGCGUCGACGGGUAGCCGGCCUGGGAGGGUGUACGGCCACCAUGGGACUGCGAUACGGCCCAGACGCGUACGGGAGGCAGCAGUGGGGAAUAUUGCACAAUGGGCGGAAGCGUGAUGCAGCGACGCCGGGUGUGGGAUGAAGGCCUUCGGGUUGUAAACUCCUUUCGACUGGGACGCGGUACCUGUAUAAGAAGCACCGGCUAACUACGUGCCAGCAGCCGCGGUAAUAC
rnacentral:rRNA from 1 species